rnacentral:misc_RNA from 1 species
AUGCAGGACUGGAAGUAAGCAUUUAUUCUCUCUUUGUUGAGUUUAGUCUUAAAUCUCUGCUUGAUGAUUGAUUUACAGCUUUAAUAAGACCUGUAUGCAAUUAUGGGGUUCAUGACAGCAAAUUUUUUUUUGUUAUAUUUUAUUUUUUUCAAAUAACUACUAUAGGAGACUAAAGAAGGGUUAUUUUUGGCAUGCCACGUCAUAAGCUAUAAUUUUUUAUUGUUAAAAUUGGACGUAAUUUCUCCCUGAAGAAUCAUUUAAUAUUCCAUUUUCUCUGAAUUCCAUAUCAUCAUAAAAUCAUCAUUGUUUCACGUAGCAAUAAACCAGUAAUGCUUGUUAUCCUUUGUUGAAACUGACUUCUAACUAAUUUAUGCUCUGUUAGAUCCUUGCAAUUCCAGAAUUCCAUUAACUUAAAACUGACUUCUAUUGCAAUUCCAGAAUUCCAUUAACUUAAAACUGACUUCUAUCAUCAUAGACUCAUCAUUGUUUCAU